rnacentral:rRNA from 1 species
CAUUAUCGUAUGAUGGGGGGUGCUGGGGUUGUCGCUGACUUUUGAAAGGGUCGUGCACGCCUCGGUGCUCUCACACAUAUAAUCCAUCUCACCCCUUUUGUGCAUCACCGCGUGGGGACCCCUUUUGGCUAGUUCUGAGGGGGGUUUUCACGUUUUUACAAAGACACCCUUUUUAAUGCAAUGUGUAGAAUGUCUUACUUUUUGCGAUCAUACGCAAUCAAUACAACUUUCAACAACGGAUCUCUUGGCUCUCGCAUCGAUGAAGAACGCAGCGAAAUGCGAUACGUAAUGUGAAUUGCAGAAUUCAGUGAAUCAUCGAAUCUUUGAACGCACCUUGCGCCCCUUGGCAUUCCGAGGGGCACACCCGUUUGAGCGUCGUGACAUCCUCAAACCUUCUUGGUUUCUUGACCAGGAAGGCUUUGGACCUUGGAGGUUUUUUUGCUGGCUUUCCUUUGUUGGAGCCAGCUCCUCUGAAAUGAAUUAGUGGGGUCUGCUUUGCCGAUCCUUGACGUGAUAAGAUAUUUUCUACGUCUUGGGUUUUGCACUCCUGCUUCUAACCGUCUCACAGAAGACAAACGGUCAAGUGAUCGCCACUUUGACCCAUGAACCUGACCUCAAAUCGGGUGAGACUACCC